rnacentral:rRNA from 1 species
GUGUGUUCCAGGUAAAUCCGGUUCACUUUAACACUGAGGCGUGAUGACGAGGCACUACGGUGCUGAAGCAACAAAUGCCCUGCUUCCAGGAAAAGCCUCUAAGCAUCAGGUAACAUCAAAUCGUACCCCAAACCGACACAGGUGGUCAGGUAGAGAAUACCAAGGCGCUUGAGAGAACUCGGGUGAAGGAACUAGGCAAAAUGGUGCCGUAACUUCGGGAGAAGGCACGCUGACACGUAGGUGAAGUGAUUUACUCAUGGAGCUGAAGUCAGUCGAAGAUACCAGCUGGCUGCAACUGUUUAUUAAAAACACAGCACUGUGCAAACACGAAAGUGGACGUAUACGGUGUGACGCCUGCCCGGUGCCGGAAGGUUAAUUGAUGGGGUCAGCGCAAGCGAAGCUCCUGAUCGAAGCCCCGGUAAACGGCGGCCGUAACUAUAACGGUCCUAAGGUAGCGAAAUUCCUUGUCGGGUAAGUUCCGACCUGCACGAAUGGCGUAAUGAUGGCCAGGCUGUCUCCACCCGAGACUCAGUGAAAUUGAACUCGCUGUGAAGAUGCAGUGUACCCGCGGCAAGACGGAAAGACCCCGUGAACCUUUACUAUAGCUUGACACUGAACAUUGAGCCUUGAUGUGUAGGAUAGGUGGGAGGCUUUGAAGUGUGGACGCCAGUCUGCAUGGAGCCGGCCUUGAAAUACCACCCUUUAAUGUUUGAUGUUCUAACGUGGACCCGUGAUCCGGGUUGCGGACAGUGUCUGGUGGGUAGUUUGACUGGGGCGGUCUCCUCCUAAAGAGUAACGGAGGAGCACGAAGGUUGGCUAAUCCUGGUCGGACAUCAGGAGGUUAGUGCAAUGGCAUAAGCCAGCUUGACUGCGAGCGUGACGGCGCGAGCAGGUGCGAAAGCAGGUCAUAGUGAUCCGGUGGUUCUGAAUGGAAGGGCCAUCGCUCAACGGAUAAAAGGUACUCCGGGGAUAACAGGCUGAUACCGCCCAAGAGUUCAUAUCGACGGCGGUGUUUGGCACCUCGAUGUCGGCUCAUCACAUCCUGGGGCUGAAGUAGGUCCCAAGGGUAUGGCUGUUCGCCAUUUAAAGUGGUACGCGAGCUGGGUUUAGAACGUCGUGAGACAGUUCGGUCCCUAUCUGCCGUGGGCGCUGGAGAACUGAGGGGGGCUGCUCCUAGUACGAGAGGACCGGAGUGGACGCAUCACUGGUGUUCGGGUUGUCAUGCCAAUGGCACUGCCCGGUAGCUAAAUGCGGAAGAGAUAAGUGCUGAAAGCAUCUAAGCACGAAACUUGCCCCGAGAUGAGUUCUCCCUGAGACUUUAGGUCUCCUGAAGGAACGUUGAAGACGACGACGUUGAUAGGCCGGGUGUGUAAGCGCAGCGAUGCGUUGAGCUAACCGGUA